UACGAAGGGGGCUAGCGUUGUUCGGAAUUACUGGGCGUAAAGCGUGCGUAGGUGGUUCGUUAAGUCCGAUGUGAAAGCCCUGGGCUCAACCUGGGAAUGGCAUUGGAUACUGGCGACCUAGAGUGCGGUAGAGGGGUGUGGAAUUCCCGGCGUAGCAGUGAAAUGCGUAGAUAUCGGGAGGAACAUCUGUGGCGAAGGCGACACCCUGGACCAGCACUGACACUGAGGCACGAAAGCGUGGGGAGCAAACAGG
rnacentral:rRNA from 1 species